UCCUCUUUCCAGUUCUAUCAGUAAAAGAGAGUGGUGUAUUGACGUUUCACACUGUUGUAGGAAUGUCUGUUGCUCUGUUCAGUUUUGUCAGUGUUUGUCUCAUGUACUUUGGAGCUUCUUGAUUGGGUGCAUAAACGUUUAUGAUUGUUAUUUCUUCUUGGUGAAUUGUCCUUAAUAUAUAGUGACAUUCUUUGUCUUAUGACAUCUUUGCAUUUAAAGUCUAUUUUGUCUGAUAUUAGUGUAGUUACUCCUGCUUUCUUUUGUUUGCAGCUUGCAUGGAAUAUUUUUUUUCCCUCUGAAGGAUCAUACUUUUUAAUCCAUUCUACCUGUCUAUCUCUUAAUUGGAAAGAAAGCAUUACUUUUUGCCUUUGAACCACAAGCUGCUUGAAUUGUCAUUUUGAAGUUACCAAAGAGAUCCACUCAGAUCAUGCAGCAAGAAACAUUUAUAAGGGUGAGAUCCUUUGUCUCCAAAUAUGAUGGAAAAGAGUAAACAUGAGGAAAACAGCAUUCCCAGCCUGUCUUGUUAUUAAGCUGUUAAUAUCAGGCCAGCAUGGAUGUACCAGAGCCUGGAUUCUUUACAGUCUCACUCAAGUCAGAAUAUAAAGUUCUUAAUGUUGAGAGAGUAGCUGCAGAUAAGAGACACUUUGAAGACUGCUGUUGAAAG